GAAAGCCGCAGACGGCUCAUUACAACAGCUAAAAUUUAUUAGAUGGUAAACCUUAUGUGGAUAACUCCACAAAAGGUGGAGCUAAUACAUGCAACUAAGCUCGGACUCACGAACGAGCGCAUUUAUUAGAAUCAACCAAUCGGGCUCACGUCCGUUGUUUGGUGAAUCUGACUAAAACUGUCGAUCGCACGGUCUCGUACCGGCGACAAAUCUUUCAAAUGUCUGCUUUAUCAACUUUCGAUGGUAGUUUAUACGCCUACCAUGGUUGUAACGGAUAACGGAGAAUAAGGGUUCGACUCCGGAGAGGGAGCCUGAGAAACGGCUACCACAUCCAAGGAAGGCAGCAGGCACGCAAAUUACCCACUCCCGGCACGGGGAGGUAGUGACGAAAAAUAACGAGGCAGUUCUCUAUGAGGUCUGCCAUCGGAAUGGGAACAAUUUAAAUCCUUUAUCGAGGAUCUAUUGGAGGGCAAGUCUGGUGCCAGCAGCCGCGGUAAUUCCAGCUCCAAUAGCGUAUAUUAAAAUUGUUGCGGUUAAAAAGCUCGUAGUUGAAUCUGCGUUCAAGAGUGACGGUCCGCCGACGGCUGGUACUGUCAACUCUGAACUACACAAUUCAGUUAUCUCUUGAUGCUCUUAACCGGGUGUCUCGAGCGACUGAAACGUUUACUUUGAAAAAAUUAGAGUGCUUAAAGCAGGCUUUCAGCCUGAAUAGUGGUGCAUGGAAUAAUAGAAGAGGAUCUUGAUUCUAUUCUAUUGGUAAUGAAUUGAGAUAAUGAUGAAUGGGGAUAGACGUGGGUAU
rnacentral:rRNA from 1 species